GAGGCAGAGAGGAGAAAGAGAGGGAGACAGAGAGAGAGAGAGGUAGAGAGGAGAAAGAGAGGGAGACAGAGAGAAAGACAGUGAGAGGCAGAGAGGAGAAAGAGAGGGAGACAGAGAGAGGCAGAGAGGAGAAAGAGAGGGAGACAGAGAAAGAGGUAGAGAGGAGAAAGAGAGGGAGACAGAGAGAGGUAGAGAGGAGAAAGAGAGGGAGACAGAGAGAGGCAGAGAGGAGAAAGAGAGGGAGACGGAGAGAGGCAGAGAGGAGAAAGAGACAGAGACAGAGAGAGGCAGAGAGGAGAAAGAGAGGGAGGCAGAGAGAGAGGUAGAGAGGAGAAAGAGGGAGACAGAGAGGGAUAGGCAGGGAGGAGGUAGAGAGGGAGGUACAGAGAGGCAGAGAGGAGAAAGAGAGGGAGGCAGGGAGCGAGAAAGAGAGGGAACCAAGUCCAAAUAAAAAUGAAGCAGAAUUCACCCUGCCAGCCACCAACAUAGUGGGUUCACGGUCAUUUCUAUGUCCACAUGCGGGCGUCAGUAAAUGUGUGUGUGCGUGUGUUUGUGUGUUAAAUGGUUGUUAUCCAUGUGUUAGGGUCGCGGGGCCACGUGCUGGGUCCCAGUUCAGCCCCAGUUAUUCCCAGUUCUGCCCCAGUGGUUCCCAGUGUAUAAUAAGAGACGAUUCUUACUGGUUUCACUGUUUCUUCUUCAUUUAUUUUUAUUUAUUUAUUUAUUUUUGGUCACCAAUGUAUAUUGAUAAAAGAAGUUUGUGGAAACUGAUCUUGUCUAAUAAAAGGUAGAGAUGAUAAA